GAUGAACGCUGGCGGCGUACCUAAUACAUGCAAGUAGAACGCUGAAGGAAGGAGCUUGCUCUUUCCGGAUGAGUUGCGAACGGGUGAGUAACGCGUAGGUAACCUGCCUGGUAGCGGGGGAUAACUAUUGGAAACGAUAGCUAAUACCGCAUAACAGUAGAUAUUGCAUGAUAUCUGCUUGAAAGGGGCAAUUGCUCCACUACCAGAUGGACCUGCGUUGUAUUAGCUAGUUGGUGAGGUAACGGCUCACCAAGGCGACGAUACAUAGCCGACCUGAGAGGGUGAUCGGCCACACUGGGACUGAGACACGGCCCAGACUCCUACGGGAGGCAGCAGUAGGGAAUCUUCGGCAAUGGACGGAAGUCUGACCGAGCAACGCCGCGUGAGUGAAGAAGGUUUUCGGAUCGUAAAGCUCUGUUGUAAGAGAAGAACGAGUGUGAGAGUGGAAAGUUCACACUGUGACGGUAUCUUACCAGAAAGGGACGGCUAACUACGUGCCAGCAGCCGCGGUAAUACGUAGGUCCCGAGCGUUAUCCGGAUUUAUUGGGCGUAAAGCGAGCGCAGGCGGUUAGAUAAGUCUGAAGUUAAAGGCUGUGGCUUAACCAUAGUACGCUUUGGAAACUGUUUAACUUGAGUGCAAGAGGGGAGAGUGGAAUUCCAUGUGUAGCGGUGAAAUGCGUAGAUAUAUGGAGGAACACCGGUGGCGAAAGCGGCUCUCUGGCUUGUAACUGACGCUGAGGCUCGAAAGCGUGGGGAGCAAACAGG
rnacentral:rRNA from 1 species